rnacentral:tRNA from 1 species
GCAUCCGUAGCUCAAUUGGAUAGAGCAUCUGACUACGGAUCAGAAGGUUGAAGGUUCAACUCCUUCCGGAUGCGCCA